rnacentral:rRNA from 1 species
UACAGAGGGGGCAAGCGUUAUUCGGAAUUAUUGGGCGUAAAGGGCGCGUAGGCGGCCUGGCAAGUGGAUGGUGAAAUCCCUCGGCUUAACCGAGGAACUGCCAUCCAGACUGCUUGGCUUGAGACCGGGAGAGGUGAGUGGAAUUCCCAGUGUAGCGGUGAAAUGCGUAGAUAUUGGGAGGAACACCAGUGGCGAAGGCGACACGCUGGGCCGUACCUGACACUGAACCGCGACAGCAUGGGGAGCAAACAGG